rnacentral:rRNA from 1 species
UAUGCUGCCAAGAAAAGCCUAGCAGCGAGUUGGCACGGUGCCCGUACCCCAAACCAACACAGGUGGAUAGGUAGAGAAUACCAAGGCGAUUGGGAGAACUGUGGUUAAGGAACUCGGCAAAAUGCAUGCGUAACUUCGGGAUAAGCAUGACCUCGUUAGGGUGAAGGGACUUGCUCCCGGAGCUCGAAGAGGUGGCACAGAAUUGGGGGAAGCGACUGUUUACUAAAAACACAGCAGCGUGCGAAGCCGAAAGGCGCUGUAUACGCUGUGACGCCUGCCCAAUGCUGGAAGGUCACGGGGAAGGGUUAGCCCUAGGGCGAAGCUCUGAACCUAAGCCCCAGUGAAUGGCGGCCGUAACUAUAACGGUCCUAAGGUAGCGAAACUCCUUGUCGGGUAAGUUCCGACCUGCACGAAUGGCGUAACGACUUCCCUACUGUCUCAACCACAGACCCAGCGAAAUUGAAGUACGAGUAAAGAUGCUCGUUAGCUGUAGAAGGACGGAAAGACCCCGUGGACCUUUACUAUAGCUUGAUAUUGAGUCUUGUCAUGCGUUGUGUAGGAUAGGUGGGAGGCUAGGAAGCAUGCACGCCAGUGUGUGUGGAGCCACCCUUGAAAUACCACCCUGCGUAUGGCGGGACUCUCACCCUGACCCGUUAUCCGGGCCGGGGACAGUGUCAGGUGGGUAGUUUGACUGGGGCGGUCGCCUCCUAAAGAGUAACGGAGGCGCCCAAAGGUUCCCUCAGACUGGUUGGCAAUCAGUCGUCGAGCGCAAUGGCAUAAGGGAGCUUGACUGCGAGACGUACAGGUCGAGCAGGUGCGAAAGCAGGGCAUAGUGAUCCGGCGGUUGCGUGUGGAAGCGCCGUCGCUCAACGGAUAAAAGGUACCCCGGGGAUAACAGGCUAAUCUUCCCCAAGAGUCCAUAUCGACGGGAAGGUUUGGCACCUCGAUGUCGGCUCAUCGCAUCCUGGGGCUGAAGCAGGUCCCAAGGGUUGGGCUGUUCGCCCGUUAAAGCGGUACGCGAGCUGGGUUUAGAACGUCGUGAGACAGUUCGGUCCCUAUCCUCUACAGCCGGAAGUGACUUGAGAAAAGCUGUCCCUAGUACGAGAGGACCGGGAUGGACGCAGCUCUCGUGUGCCAGUUGUCCUGCCAAGGGCAUGGCUGGUUAGCGACCUGCGGGCGAGAUAACCGCUGAAAGCAUCUAAGCGGGAAGCUCCUUUCAAGGUGAGGUCACUCACAGGGUCAACCUGGUAAGGCCCGUGGUAGACCACCACGUUGAUAGGCCGGAAGUGUAAGCGCGGUAACGCGUUCAGCUGACCGGUACUAAUCGGCCGAGGGCUUGGUUUC